rnacentral:rRNA from 1 species
ACGGGUGAGUAACACGUAGGCAACCUGCCCUCAAGUUUGGGACAACUACCGGAAACGGUAGCUAAUACCGAAUAAUUGUUUCCUUCGCCUGAAGGAAACUGGAAAGACGGAGCAAUCUGUCACUUGGGGAUGGGCCUGCGGCGCAUUAGCUAGUUGGUGGGGUAACGGCUCACCAAGGCGACGAUGCGUAGCCGACCUGAGAGGGUGAUCGGCCACACUGGGACUGAGACACGGCCCAGACUCCUACGGGAGGCAGCAGUAGGGAAUCUUCCGCAAUGGGCGAAAGCCUGACGGAGCAAUGCCGCGUGAGUGAUGAAGGUUUUCGGAUCGUAAAGCUCUGUUGCCAGGGAAGAACGCUUGGGAGAGUAACUGCUCUCAAGGUGACGGUACCUGAGAAGAAAGCCCCGGCUAACUACGUGCCAGCAGCCGCGGUAAUACGUAGGGGGCAAGCGUUGUCCGGAAUUAUUGGGCGUAAAGCGCGCGCAGGCGGUCAUUUAAGUCUGGUGUUUAAUCCCGGGGCUCAACCCCGGAUCGCACUGGAAACUGGGUGACUUGAGUGCAGAAGAGGAGAGUGGAAUU